rnacentral:rRNA from 1 species
GAUGAACGCUGGCGGCGUGCCUAAUACAUGCAAGUCGAGCGAACAGACGAGGAGCUUGCUCCUCUGACGUUAGCGGCGGACGGGUGAGUAACACGUGGAUAACCUACCUAUAAGACUGGGAUAACUUCGGGAAACCGGAGCUAAUACCGGAUAAUAUAUUGAACCGCAUGGUUCAAUAGUGAAAGACGGUUUUGCUUUCACUUAUAGACUGAUCCGCGCUGCAUUAGCUAGUUGGUAAGGUAACGGCUUACCAAGGCGACGAUGCGUAGACGACCUGAGAGGGUGAUCGGCCACACUGGAACUGAGACACGGUCCCGACUCCUACGGGAGGCAGCAGUAGGGAAUCUUCCGCAAUGGGCGAAAGCCUGACGGAGCAACGCCGCGUGAGUGAUGAAGGUCUUAGGAUCGUAAAACUCUGUUAUUAGGGAAGAACAAAUGUGUAAGUAACUAUGCACGUCUUGACGGUACCUAAUCAGAAAGCCACGGCUAACUACGUG